GUAGUCAUAUGCUUGUCUCAAAGAUUAAGCCAUGCAUGUCUAAGUAUAAGCAAUUAUACCGUGAAACUGCGAAUGGCUCAUUAAAUCAGUUAUCGUUUAUUUGAUAGUACCUUACUACUUGGAUAACCGUGGUAAUUCUAGAGCUAAUACAUGCUAAAAACCCCGACUUCGGGAGGGGUGUAUUUAUUAGAUAAAAAACCAAUGCCCUUCGGGGCUCUUUGGUGAUUCAUAAUAACUUAACGGAUCGCAUGGCCUUGCGCCGGCGACGGUUCAUUCAAAUUUCUGCCCUAUCAACUUUCGAUGGUAAGGUAUUGGCUUACCAUGGUUUCAACGGGUAACGGGGAAUUAGGGUUCGAUUCCGGAGAGGGAGCCUGAGAAACGGCUACCACAUCCAAGGAAGGCAGCAGGCGCGCAAAUUACCCAAUCCCGACACGGGGAGGUAGUGACAAUAAAUACUGAUACAGGGCUCUUUUGGGUCUUGUAAUUGGAAUGAGUACAAUUUAAACCCCUUAACGAGGAACAAUUGGAGGGCAAGUCUGGUGCCAGCAGCCGCGGUAAUUCCAGCUCCAAUAGCGUAUAUUAAAGUUGUUGCAGUUAAAAAGCUCGUAGUUGAAACUUGGGCCUGGCUGGCCGGUCCGCCUCACCGCGUGUACUGGUCCGGCCGGGCCUUUCCUUCUGGAGAGCCUCAUGCCCUUCACUGGGUGUGUUGGGGAACCAGGACUUUUACUUUGAAAAAAUUAGAGUGUUCAAAGCAGGCCUUUGCUCGAAUACGUUAGCAUGGAAUAAUAGAAUAGGACGUGCGAUCCUAUUUUGUUGGUUUCUAGGACCGCCGUAAUGAUUAAUAGGGAUAGUCGGGGGCAUCAGUAUUCAAUUGUCAGAGGUGAAAUUCUUGGAUUUAUUGAAGACUAACUACUGCGAAAGCAUUUGCCAAGGAUGUUUUCAUUAAUCAGUGAACGAAAGUUAGGGGAUCGAAGACGAUCAGAUACCGUCGUAGUCUUAACCGUAAACUAUGCCGACUAGGGAUCGGGCGAUGUUAUUAUUUUGACUCGCUCGGCACCUUACGAGAAAUCAAAGUUUUUGGGUUCUGGGGGGAGUAUGGUCGCAAGGCUGAAACUUAAAGGAAUUGACGGAAG
rnacentral:rRNA from 1 species